GAUGAAGAACGUAGCGAAAUGCGAUAAGUAAUGUGAAUUGCAGAAUUCAGUGAAUCAUCGAAUCUUUGAACGCACAUUGCGCCCCCUGGUAUUCCGGGGGGCAUGCCUGUCCGAGCGUCAUUACAACCCUCAAGCUCAGCUUGGUGUUGGGCCCCGCCGCCCCGGCGGGCCCUAAAGUCAGUGGCGGUGCCGUCCGGCUCCGAGCGUAGUAAUUCUUCUCGCUCUGGAGGUCCGGUCGUGUGCUCGCCAGCAACCCCCAAUUUUUUUCAGGUUGACCUCGGAUCAGGUAGGGAUACCCGCUGAACUUAAGCAUAUCAAUAAGCGGAA
rnacentral:misc_RNA from 1 species